AUUGAACGCUGGCGGCAUGCCUAACACAUGCAAGUCGAACGGCAGCACAGUGUGUAGCAAUACGCAUGGGUGGCGAGUGGCGGACGGGUGAGGAAUACAUAGGAAUCUGCCCUGUAGCGGGGGAUAGUCCGGGGAAACUCGGGGUAAUACCGCAUACGACCUACGGGUGAAAGAGGGGGAUCGUGAAGACCUCUCACUAUAGGAUGAGCCUAUGUCGGAUUAGCUAGUUGGUGGGGUAAAGGCCUACCAAGGCGACGAUCCGUAGCUGGUCUGAGAGGACGACCAGCCACACCGGAACUGAGACACGGUCCGGACUCCUACGGGAGGCAGCAGUGGGGAAUAUUGGACAAUGGGGAAACCCUGAUCCAGCAAUGCCGCGUGUGUGAAGAAGGCUUUCGGGUUGUAAAGCACUUUAGGCCGGGAAGAAAAAGCAUCACCUAAUACGUGAAGCCUUGACGGUACCAGCGGAAUAAGCACCGGCUAACUCUGUGCCAGCAGCCGCGGUAAUACAGAGGGUGCAAGCGUUAAUCGGAUUUACUGGGCGUAAAGCGUGCGUAGGCGGUUCAGUAUGUCGGUCGUGAAAU
rnacentral:rRNA from 1 species